UACAGAGGUCCCAAGCGUUGUUCGGAUUCACUGGGCGUAAAGGGUGCGUAGGUGGUGAGGCAAGUCGGAUGUGAAAUCUCCGAGCUCAACUCGGAAACUGCAUUGGAAACUACCUUGCUCGAGGGUUGGAGGGGGGACUGGAAUGCUUGGUGUAGCAGUGAAAUGCGUAGAUAUCAAGCGGAACACCAGUGGCGAAGGCGAGUCCCUGGACAACUCCUGACACUGAUGCACGAAAGCUAGGGGAGCAAACAGG
rnacentral:rRNA from 1 species